rnacentral:rRNA from 1 species
UACGUAGGGACCAAGCGUUGUUCGGAUUUACUGGGCGUAAAGGGCGCGUAGGCGGCUUGACAAGUCACUUGUGAAAUCUCCGGGCUUAACUCGGAACGGCCAAGUGAAACUGUCAUGCUAGAGUGCAGAAGGGGCAAUCGGAAUUCUUGGUGUAGCGGUGAAAUGCGUAGAUAUCAGGAGGAACACCGGUGGCGAAGGCGGGUCUCUGGGCCGAUACUGACGCUGAGGAGCGAAAGCAUGGGGAGCGAACAGG